rnacentral:rRNA from 1 species
AUUGAACGCUGGCGGCAGGCCUAACACAUGCAAGUCGGACGGUAGCACAGAGGAGCUUGCUCCUCGGGUGACGAGUGGCGGACGGGUGAGUAAUGUCUGGGGAUCUGCCCGAUAGAGGGGGAUAACCACUGGAAACGGUGGCUAAUACCGCAUAACGUCGCAAGACCAAAGAGGGGGACCUUCGGGCCUCUCACUAUCGGAUGAACCCAGAUGGGAUUAGCUAGUAGGCGGGGUAAUGGCCCACCUAGGCGACGAUCCCUAGCUGGUCUGAGAGGAUGACCGGCCACACUGGAACGGAGCCACGGUCCAGACUCCUACGGGAGGCAGCAGUGGGGAAUAUUGCACAAUGGGCGCAAGCCUGAUGCAGCCAUGCCGCGUGUAUGAAGAAGGCCUUCGGGUUGUAAAGUACUUUCAGCGGGGAGGAAGGCGGUGAGGUUAAUAACCUUGCCGAUUGACGUUACCCGCAGAAGAAGCACCGGCUAACUCCGUGCCAGCCGCCGCCGUAA